rnacentral:tRNA from 9 species
UAGAAUAUAGUAUAUUGGAAGUAUGAAGAGUUUUGAUCUCUUAGGGGCAGGUUCAAGUCCUGUUUUUCUAA